rnacentral:ribozyme from 1 species
UGCCCAGCAACUCCUAUCCCUACCGCCUCGCGGUACCGGCCGGAAACUAUGAGCAACCUUAGGAAAGAUCGGGUAACCAAUUCCGAUGGGAACUUUGGUCAUAGGCUUACAGGGAAGU